rnacentral:lncRNA from 1 species
GCUGGUAUUGAUGAUUAUUGUAAAAUUAGUGAAUAAUGAUAAAAUGUUUAAGCUGCUAAUUUAUUAUAUAUUUUUAGACAUAUAUAUGGUUUAUUUCUCUUGGCCUUCAUACUUUGGAUGUAUUGAGUCCAUAUUCUAUUUAUUUUUCUUGUCCUACUUAAUUUAUAAUGUGUUUUCGUUUAGUAUUUAACGGUUUAUUUAGUGGUGCGUAUUUGGUUGAUGUCUACUUAGUUAGUACAAUAAAAGUGAAUUGUUCAUUCAGUGUUUCUGCUGUGUCAUGUUCGUUUUCUGCUGGUUUAAGUCUUAAGUGGUGGUAUACUUUGAGAGUUCUUUUUUUUUAAUCUGACCUGGCCCACAGUGAGCUUUUCAUGUCACUUGAUGUCCGUCGUCCGUUUUCAU